UACGGAGGAGGCAAGCGUUAUCCGGAAUUAUUGGGCGUAAAGCGUCCGUAGGUGGUUUAGUAAGUCUGCUGUUAAAGCGCGGGGCUUAACUCCGUAUCGGCAGUGGAAACUACUAGACUAGAGUGUGGUAGGGGUAGAGGGAAUUCCCAGUGUAGCGGUGAAAUGCGCAGAUAUCGAGAGGAACACCUGCGGCGAAGGCGGGUUGCUGGGCUGACACUGACGCUGAGGCGCGAAAGCCAGGGGAGCGAACGGG
rnacentral:rRNA from 1 species